AUAGCUGACGUGGAUCGAAGUAUAGUAUCUUAAUUCUUAUCAGCUUAACAUCUCAUAUGGGUCAUACUUGAACCUAAGAUAUUAUCUUAUUUUUGCAAGUUGGCGGAGUGCUUCAAGCCUGCUUCACCUCCGCCACGGGUCGGGCCGGUAUUGCACAUCUUCGGGAUUUUCGGUCUACGGACA